rnacentral:rRNA from 1 species
UACGUAGGGUGCGAGCGUUGUCCGGAAUUAUUGGGCGUAAAGGGCUCGUAGGCGGUUUGUCGCGUCGGGAGUGAAAACCUUGGGCUUAACUCAGGGCUUGCUUUCGAUACGGGCAGACUAGAGGUAUGCAGGGGAGAACGGAAUUCCUGGUGUAGCGGUGAAAUGCGCAGAUAUCAGGAGGAACACCGGUGGCGAAGGCGGAUCUCUGGGCCGAUACUGACGCUGAGGAGCGAAAGCGUGGGGAGCGAACAGG